rnacentral:rRNA from 1 species
AGUAACACGUGAGUAACCUGCCCUUCACUCUGAGAUAACGUCGGGAAACCGGUGCUAAUACUGGAUAUGACCUACUCGGGCAUCCGAUGUGGGUGGAAAGAUUUAUUGGUGGGGGAUGGACUCGCGGCCUAUCAGCUUGUUGGUGAGGUAAUGGCUUACCAAGGCGACGACGGGUAGCCGGCCUGAGAGGGCGAUCGGCCACACUGGGACUGAGACACGGCCCAG